GGUUUAUCUUUAGGUUGUAGUUUUAUUUAUCAAUGAUGUUGUCUCAUAGAACUCUACAGUAACUAUAUAUAUUUUUUUUUCAUUUUGGAUCUAUAAAUUAAUUGUAUGAAUGACUGCUUAAGAUUCAAGCUAUGCUCUCAAAGUAUCAUGGAUAUGUUUGCACUUAAAGUUGGAUGUGUUGCACUUAAAGGUUGGAGUCGGAUUCUCUCGUUUGCACAUUAUUACUGCACGUUGGGCUUCAUUAUAGGCUGGUGUCGUCUUGGCGACAACCGUUAAUCAUUUAUGAUGCGGAGUUUAACCAGGUUGAUUUUAAUCCAAGCGCAACCCGAAUAGUUGCCUUGAGUUGGUUGGCCCUUCGCCGUGAGUGGGUCAGUUCAGGUGUCACAGUGUCUACUACGAGCUUGACGGGGUGCCCAUCACAAUUAGCCAUUGUUGAAGGAGCAACUUGGAAGACCUGAGUGAGCCAAAAAGGAGUCAGCUAGAGUCGAUUAACGAAGAGGAAAAUGAGGAUUUAGUUGAUGGGUCAGAUACUUCUUCCUUUACUGCAUUCCUUUAUUCUUUAUUGUCAUCUUCAGAUUCUGGAGAUAAUUCAAAUUCAGAUGAGAAAAAGGAUAAUACACCAGAAAUGGUUGGCCAGUCAUCUGAAAUUGUAAGGAAGGAGAGUGUCACAAGGAAGGGCUUACUUUCUAGGGGUAAACAAUCUCUUAGAGCUAUUUACCAAGCUGGUAUAACUGGUGGAUAUCAAAGUCAAGGGUGCAAGGGUGAAUCUGACUUGAAAUUAGGUGAUGAGAGUAAUGAUAAUUUUGAUGGACUGGAAAUAAAACAUACGCAGAUUUUGAAAGAGCCCGUUGAGUUGGGAGAUCUUCCAAGUGUUUCUGAGCCUUCAUUGCUUCUUUCAGAGAGAGCAAGAAGUGCCCUUUAUGCUUCACGUCCAGCACUUGCACAAGGGAGGAAUUGGUAAUUGCUUUACAAGUUUAAAAACGUUUACUUUUAAAUUGAAAAUGAAUCUCAGCUUUUUAAAUGCAAACAGCUUGCUCCUAAUAGUUACUAAUAUGGUAGUCUUUAUGAAUCUCUUUCACUCUGUGUGUGUGUGUGCGCUCGUGUGUGUUCUUUGCAGUACGUGGAGGCAUGGGAUAUCACUAUCAACAUUAUAUAGAAGAAGCAUGCUUGCCCUGGACCAAGUCUGCUGGUAAUUUUUUUAAUUACCUUUUUGUCUUACAACAACAACUAAGCCUUAAUCCCAAAUUAGUUGGGGCCAGCUAUACUAUUUGCAUGUUAUCUGAGGAACAUCUUGUCAUACAGUUACUCUGCAAUAAUUUAUGAUUGGUCUUUGAUUCCCAAGGUAAUUCCGCCCCGCAGGUAUUUCAUCUCUAUGCCCCUAGGCAACAAAUUUGAUUUCUGAUUUGUGAUGGAAAAUUAUUGAUUUUGAUCUUGUCCAUGUAUUAAAAUGUUAUUCCUUACAUUGAAAGAUCCGUCAUAGGAGCCAUUGAUGUGUUGUCAUGCAAGUAUAUUCCAUUGGCAAAUGGAUUAAAAUCGGUGUUCCCUGCUGAUAUUGUUCUUACUUCUUUGUGAAUGAAAAGGAAAUUGAUUGGCUAAAAUGCCUUUGUGGUAGCAUUUUUUGAAGGACCAAAAAUGUAUUUUACAUUCAUGGUUUUUUUUUCGAUGAUGUAAAUACUGCACACAGCUGCAAGCACAUAGUAUACUUCCAGCCCUGUAUCUUUAAGAUCCCAAUGGCUGCAACAUGAAGGACAUAGGAUAUUCAGUUGCAACAUGAAAUGAUGCUAAUCCUUCUAUAGAAGGACAGUAUAAAUUAUUGUCCUAGAUGCUAGAUCUUCUAUUGUCCAAAAUAUUUUUCCUCAGUACUUCUCUUUUUAGUGCUUGGAAAUGCUUGAAUAUAAGUCAUGUCUGAACAUCACAUUUAGAUCAAGUUCAAUUCAAUUCAUGACAUAGAUUGGUUUGAAGAUACCAGUUCAAGCAUCUAAUCAGUGCAUGAUGUUAACUGAUAAUUCAAUAAGACAUUUAUGGAUAUCUAAAAUAUGUGGAAACUUAAUUGAAGAACAGAAACAGUAAAAAGUGUGGUACAUACAAACACAAGGGGCCUGCCCCAGGUUUUUCCCCGAAAGGGUGCUGAGUACGAGUUGAAGGGUUGAACAUGUCGUUUAGAAUCUUUCAUUUUUGCUGUUCACUAAUGGCAGUGUUGAAAGAGGUGCAAAUCGCCAUUUCACUUUGUGCUCUACUGAUUUUCUGGCAAUGGGUGGGGGUGGCCCCUUUGCACUCUACUUGGAUGGAGAUCUGUGAGCCCAUACUUCUCUAUUAUUGUUAUGCACUUGUUCUGCAACCAUUUGAGUGAUUUGACUUGGCGGAUUCACUUCUAGACAUCCACAACUGUACUGGUUAUUGAUAAUUGUUUAUUCCAUCAUAGAUUAAAUGGAUCAAGCUCAGUCUCAGAGACCUAUGGGAACCCUUGUCUUGCACAUUCUGCAGACUUUGAAGUUAAAGAAGUUGAGUAAUGAGGAAAUAGUUGCUUUAAGCAGAACAGAGGCUCGUGGGAUACGCCGGUGGUAAAUAUUCAAGCAUAUGGCUGAUUUUAUGAUUGUCAAUGUGGACCAGCUGGUUUAACGUAGACCCAUUUGUUAAAAGGCAUCUUUCAUUCACGUUUACUCAUACAUAGAGCCUGUGUAGCAGUAGACACAGUCCAGUAGUAGCUCUAUAUAUAUAUUAGACCUGGGAGAUCCGGUUCAACUCUUCCCUCCCCCUACAUGUAUAAUAUUAAAAAAUGUACAUAGAGCCUGUAUUUGUAUACAUGAUAAAGCGUUGAAAGUAUUGGAAGUAACUUCGAUGUUGACGGUGAA